UUCACUUAAAAUCGAUGAAAAAAAUAGAAUUUAAUUGAACCAUAUAUGGAUUUUUUUUUAAUUCCAGCUGGAAAAUUUGAACAAUUUUAGAAAUAAAAAUUCAGUUCUUUAACAAUUUUUGACUAAUUAGGUGCCAGCAGUCGCGGUCAUACCUAAAAAAUGUUAUUUUUUCUUAGAAUGAAAUAAGAAUAAUAAAUAAUUUAUUUAGGUAAAAUUUUUAAAUUUAUUAAUUACCUAAAAUUCUUAAAAAUUUUCGAAACUCUAAAAUUAAACUAGGAUUAGAUACCCUAUUAUAAAAGAGCUUAAAAUUCUAUUCUAAGCACUAAAAUUUUUAAAAUUAAAACUUAAAAUUUUUGGCGGUAAAUCAAAUUUUCAGGGGAACUUACCAGGUAAUUGAUAACCCACAUGUUAUUUAACUUUUUUUAAUAGCUUAUAUAUUGCCGUUGUAACUUUACUUAAAGUAAAUUUAAUAAAUUUAUCUAAUAUAAUAACAGGUCAUAAUGUAGCAUAUGAGAAAGUCUUAAGGUGAGUUACAAUAUAAAAAACUUUUCAGAUAAAAUUUAGAAAAAAGUUUUUGAAGAUGGACUUGAAAGUAAUAAUUAAUAAUAAUAUUUGAAUAAUACUUUGGUUUGUGCACAAAUCGCCCGUCACUCUCUUUAAUUUAAAAAGAGAUAAGUCGUAACACAGUAGAGGUAAUGGAAAUUGUCUCU
rnacentral:rRNA from 1 species